AUUAGUACCUAAUCCCAGCAAACAAAAAUAUUCAAGGAGUCCCUAUGGAUUAUGAUGAGGAAAAGAAAAAUUUUAUCAAGAAGAGAUGAGCUAUUAGUGAAUAAAGUACAAAGAGAGUGAGUGGGAGGACUUUUGCCACAAGAGCAGCAAAGACCAAGAAGUUGCUUUGGUCUGGGG